UCGGGAAUUUUGGGCAAUGGGGGAAACCCUGACCCAGCAACGCCGCGUGAAGGAUGAAGUAUUUCGGUAUGUAAACUUCGAAAGAAUAGGAAGAAUAAAUGACGGUACUAUUUAUAAGGUCCGGCUAACUACGUGCCAGCAGCCGCGGUAAUACGUAGGGACCAAGCGUUGUUCGGAUUUACUGGGCGUAAAGGGCGCGUAGGCGGCAUGACAAGUCACUUGUGAAAUCUCUGGGCUUAACCCAGAACGGCCAAGUGAUACUGUCGCGCUAGAGUGCAGAAGGGGCAAUCGGAAUUCUUGGUGUAGCGGUGAAAUGCGUAGAUAUCAAGAGGAACACCUGAGGUGAAGACGGGUUGCUGGGCUGACACUGACGCUGAGGCGCGAAAGCCAGGGGGAGCAAACGGGAUUAGAUACCCUUGUAG
rnacentral:rRNA from 1 species